rnacentral:lncRNA from 1 species
GCCUAGAUUAAUAUUUUGUUUGUUUCCCCAAUCCCGACCCUGCCAAGCCAGGUGUGGGUAGGUAGGUAGGGAAAUAAUUUUAUUUUUCCAAAAAGCUUGAACAUUAUCGGUUGAUCCAGCAAUCCUGAAAAUCAGAAAUGAAUAAAAUAAUAUUUGACUUAGUUUUGACAAUAAAAUUUUAUGAGUAGCACCAUUUUUGCAGGGUCGGUCGGGAUUGGGGAAACAAACAAUAUUU